rnacentral:rRNA from 1 species
GAGUUUGAUCAUGGCUCAGAGCGAACGCUGGCGGCAGGCCUAACACAUGCAAGUCGAGCGCCGUAGCAAUACGGAGCGGCAGACGGGAGAGUAACACGUGGGAACGUACCCUUUGGUUCGGAACAACCCAGGGAAACUUGGGCUAAUACCGGAUAAGCCCUUACGGGGAAAGAUUCAUCGCCGAAGGAUCGGCCCGCGUCUGAUUAGCUAGUUGGUGGGGUAAUGGCCCACCAAGGCGACGAUCAGUAGCUGGUCUGAGAGGAUGAUCAGCCUCACUGGGACUGAGACACGGCCCAGACUCCUACGGGAGGCAGCAGUGGGGAAUAUUGGACAAUGGGCGCAAGCCUGAUCCAGCCAUGCCGCGUGGGUGAUGAAGGCCUUAGGGUUGUAAAGCCCUUUCGGCGGGGAAGAUAAUGACGGUACCCGCAGAAGAAGCCCCGGCUAACUUCGUGCCAGCCGCCGCUGUAAU